UUGAAGAACAAAGAUAAUUAGAAAGCAAUUAGAAGCACAAUUAAAGAAUUACCAAGAAUCCUCUUGACAGAUCCGGAAACCAAUCGAAGAUUGACUCCUUCUAGUUCUAAUCCUAUGUAGCUAUGCUAAUCUAGAUAUCUAAUUGAUGUGGUGGCUCUAAUCUUGAUCAGGGGCUUCUUCUCCCUUGAAGAACAAUGAAUUAGGGUUGGGAGGCUCUCUCCUUCAGGGGCCAGGGGGUCUGGUUUUAUAGUCCCUUCAAGUGAAUAUGGGCCGUUGGAUCAAACCGACAUAGAUUGUAUGGUUUAGAUUCAUCCUUUAGGUCGGUGGAGAUCUCCCACGAAGCAGAGUCCUGAUUGGACUCAGGAGGUGGGCGGGCGCCCAGGGUCAGGCCCCGUUUCGCCUCCGCUUCGGUCUCGUGGCUUCUGGAGUCUUCUAGAUGUAAGAUAAUUGCGCGGCAUGUUAAUAUCUCUAUGUAAUCCCGACGUGUGGGCCUUUCUUCCGUAUUUCCUGAUAACCCCCUGCAGAAAUAGACAAACACCAAAACUCGUGGAAUUCUGUCAGAUAAAACCCUAAGUCUAGAUGUUGAUUUCAUUUGGAUCCUUUUCUUUGUUUAUUUGAUAAUUAAAUUUGAUACUUAAGGACCGUCAACAAACUCCCCCAAGCUUACCUCUUGCUCGUCCCUGAGCAAGGAUAGACUCAGCUAUGGAUCAUAGGUUGUUGCAAUAUCUUAAAAAUUGACGGUACACAUGCUUUUUUAAAUAAGAUCUCAUCUCUGAGUUAGAGUAAACUGUCAAGACUUAAAACUUACUUACUUUACCUUUACCAUGGGACUUGUAACUGUCACUUCUGUCUUGAGUAGUUAAAAGAUAGAACAGUCUAGCCAAGUGCCAUGUCUCUUAUUCUUGAUCAGCUAUAGCUCUGGGGUUUUUGCAGAUUUUCAAAUAAAACUCAGAGAUUCCUUGUAUGAUUCUCUCAGAUCUCUCUUUUGUGGUAUUUCUGGAUCCUUACCAAGGCAGUGAUGGUAUAUGCCUUCUCUCAAGAUAUGUGGUAUUUGUGGUAUGAAGCAUAGUGACAUUAUCUUAUCUCUCACCCUACUUCUAAUAAGGCUUUAAUAUCUGGAGCUCAUAGGUGGGAGAUAAAGUUUACAUACUCACAAGACAUUUAUCGUAUAGUCAAACCAUGGAUCCAAAGAAACAAGUCAAUAAGCCAAAUCAAGAUGUGCAUGUGUUGCGAAUGAAUGGUAUAUAGUGAUGAUGGUGAUAACAAUGGUGGAAACAAUGGUGGUGGAAGUCUAAUUCUACUUUGCUCUUUUGAGGGGAUAAUACCUUCCUUGCUUUUUGAAACUUUAUGAGGAGAAUGAGAUGCUCUUCUUUUUCUUUUCUCUCAGGUGGGUAUCUUGUACCCCUAAUUCUACUGUCGGACACUUGUCCAUUUUUACCUCUCGUCUCACUUUAUUUUCUUUUCUUUCGAGGUUCCGAGCACUUGCUCCUUUUUAUUUCCUCGUAUUUUUUUAGAGCACUCAUCUCUUGAGAUAAUAUAGCAAGUGGUAGUAACAAGAUAACUUGAGCAUUUAUUUCACACGGGAAAACAGAAAUAUUUUUUGUUAUUCUCUCCCGGAUUAGGAGUAGAAUAUUUUUGGGUGAUUCUGGAGAUGGAAAUGAGUGGAUAUAUGUGGAUGGUACUUCCGGAGUAGAAGUAGCACAUAUGAGUGAACGUGCAAGUGAAAUCUUGAUUUAACCACAUGACAAGCUCCUAAGGGUCUACACAGCUUGACCACACUCAAUGCUCAUAAGCAGUAAAUAGUAAAUGUGUGGCUCAAAGUCUAGCAAGCAUGUAUAUAUGGCUGUGGUAGGAAUUUAAACUCUCAUCAUACAGGAACUCAUCAUGCAACAUUUUAAAGAUUUUCAAAGAUAAAAUUCUCCAAAAUUCUAGCAUCUCUAGGAACAGAUAAACAGCAGCUCAACCUUCCCAUAUCGUAUCCGUUAACAACUUAGACUUUAGAUCAAGUUUUCAUCCCACAAGUUUAGGUCUAGAGCAAGCUUUAAAUUAUAACAGUUAUGUCUAAACUUGAGAGAGAACUUCAAAUGUGCAAAUUAGGCAGAGCAACUAUUCAUCAUAUCCAUGCUAGAGUUUUAUUUAGAUACAGAUUAGCAUAGCCAGUUUAUUUAUUUAUUAAACACACUAAGCAAAAUAUAUAUAUAUAUAUAAGCAUAAAAUCUUUACUUGAUUUUUCCAUAGUUAUGUAUAUUUAUAUUCUAAAAUAAUAUAAGUAUAAAGAUAGAUAGAUAGAAAUACUUAUCGAGAUAAAUGGGGGUGCUCUCCCCCAAGCUGAAUUUUGACGUAAUUUCUCUUGAUGUAGCUAGCAGGUGGCAGAAGUGUAUCUGAAAGUCAGCAGCAUUCUGACAGCGAUUAGAAUGUCCUCCGUCUGCUAGUCUUCUUACAUUCUGUGGAGCUCAAAUAGACAACAAAGCUUGUGGAACUGAUUAAGUGUUAGCAUAAAUAUCUAGUCUUUAUCAUGUUGAGACUCCUUAAUUAUUACUCCCUGUUUUUAUAUUUUUAUUUUAUAAAGCAGAAAAAUAUUUAUUUUAUUUUUAUGCCACCACAGUGAAUGUACUUAUGGGUUUUAUGCCACUCGUAUACUCACAUGGGGCUUACUGUUUUUUACAUUUUUAUUUUCUUCUAUUUUUAAGAUAGUAUGAAUAUGAUUAACUAAGUAAACUAUUUAAAAUAAUUGAAAGGGAAAGGAUAACUACCAAGUUUACGUCUUGGCAAGGCGUUCGGUGUUUUUAAGUCCUCCGAGCAGGACUCUCUAUUUUUUUCAAUUGUCCUGAGGUUCGUUGGGUGGCGUAGUCGGUACUUCCGGUGGCGCCUCCUCUUCAUGUAUAAUUAUCUUCUCUUUCCAUACCUGACUCGGUGCUUUGGUCUCCUCUGGAUAAUUCUGUUUAAACUCUACAUCUUCUGACCUUAUUACUUCUCCUUCAUAGUCUACCCAUCCGUCCCUGAUGAUCUGCCUCCUCUGGUUGCGGUUGCGUCUCUUUCUGACCUGCUUAGAUUCUUCAACGAUAUAGUUAGGGUCAGUAAAAUAGCGGCGUACCUUCUCUGAGCGGAAGUGCAUAUGGACUUCUCCGGUUCCAAUGUAGAUAAUUGCUUUAACGGUGCUGAGGAACGGUCUUCCAAGGAUGAUGGGUGGAUCAUACUCGUCUUCUCCCAUGUCGAUAACUUGAAAGUCUGUGUAGACAAAAUGAUCGUCUAUUUUGACUGGGACAUCAGUUACUAUUCCUUUAACUUCUCGAAAUGUCUGAUCUGCCAUCUGGAGCUGAAUGUAUGUUGGUCUUAGUGGCAUGGUUCCGAACAAGAGCCGAUAGGUGACUGCGGCCAUUAUGUUGACGCCCGAUCCGGUGUCACAAGUCGUCUAGUAGAAGUUGUAUCCAUUUAUGGAGCAGUAAAUGCUUGGCAUUCCUGGGUCGUCCUUCUUGGUCAAAAGCGGUGACUUAAGUUGGUGAUCUUGGCCUCCAUGAACUACAGUGACCAUCUUAGCUGACUCAGUCCACACUUGCUUGUUCCUGUUCCUCCGGUUGGUCCUCUUCCUUGAUUCACGUCUGGAUUGAUUUGGAAUUUGUGUAAUCUUGUUUUUGAAGAAAAAUGUCUCCUUCCUCCCUUUGACGUAGAAACUGAUCUUGGCAGCACUAGCGUAGAUGAUAGCUCCCGUGGUGUUUAAGAAUGGCCUCCCUAGGAUGAUAGGUGCUCUCUCAUCAUUUCCGGUCUCUACCACUACGAAGUCUGCUAGGGCAUACAAGGUACCAACUCGGACGCAAAGGUUCUUCAAUAUUCCUUUUGGAAUAGUUAUCGUCUGAUCUACAAACUGCAAACACAUGGUUGUCUCUAAUAAAGGAUAUGUAAAGAAUUUUUCAUAGAGUACCCUGGGAAUAAUGUUGACGCUAGAGCCAAAGUCGCAGAGUGCUUCUAGAACGUCCACCAUGCCGAUGGAGAUCGGGAUGACGGGGCAUCCUGGAUCGCCUCUCUUGACCGGCAGAAGGUCAGUAGUGAAUUCAGUGACGGGGUUACUCCAAUUAUUACCUGCAUCAAACAUGUCUACAAGGUUUGCAGAUUCUAAUCCUUCCGGUUGUGAUGGUAUACCGGGGUUACUAGUAGGAACAGCAGCAGCUAUUUGAUUUAACUGGGAUUCAAUCAUUUUAUUAAAGCUAAUUUGAUUCUUGAUGGCAGUAGAGAAAUUAUCUAUUCUAUUAUUUAUAUUUUCUAGCAUUUUAUCAUUAGAUGCCAAUUUCUUAGAUAGGUUAUCCAUUAGCUUUCCUUGAUUAGACACUAACUCUCUUAGAGGUGGAAAAUUAUUAUUGUUGUUGUAAGAAUUGUUACCUUGAUAAUUACCUGAGUAGUUAGGCCUCUGUUGAUUCCAACCUUGAUUUUGUUGAGGACGGUUGUAGUAGUUGUUGUUGUUAUUGUUGAUGUAGUUCACAUCCUCAAGCAUCUCAGGGCAGUGGAUGCCUGAGUGUCCAGUAUCUCCACACUGCUCACAAGUCAUGUGAGAGUCGUAGAUGUGCAUAACUUCUUUCUUGUCUCCGGCUCUAUCGUCGAGCUUCUUCAUGAGUAGGUCUAGCUUUGCAGACAGCAUGUCUACCUCCUUCAGCUGAUGCUACCUCCACCUCUCUUGCGUGUCUGGGUCCUCUCUUCAUUCCAGCUUUGGUUGGACACCAUUUUCUCCACAAGAGCUGUGGCUUGUGGUAUAGUAAGUGAUAAGAAUGCUCCUCCAGCUGCAGCAUCCAUGGUUUCUCGGGCACUGUUUCCGAGUCCAUGAUAAAAUGUCUGCAUCAAUAGCCAACUCUCCAUUCCAUGAUGGGGACAUUCUAGGAUGUAGUCUUGAAAGCGCUCCCAUGCUUCUGGAACAGAUUCAUCAUUUUGUUGCUGAAAACUUGUAAUCUUCCCACGGAGAGCAUUGGUCUUGCCCAUGGGAAAGAACUUAGCCAGGAAGUUUGUUGAGCAGAGUGCCCAUGUAGUAUUCUUCUCCUUUGUAGCAUAGAACCACUGCUUCGCUCUUCCUAACAGUGAGAAUGGGAAGAGGCGAAGUAGUAUAGCAUCUUUGGAAACUCCUGAUAUGGUGAAUGUGUUGCAAAUCUCCAGGAAGUGUUGUAAAUGAGCACUAGCAUCUUCAUAUGCCUUCCCACAGAACUGGUUAGAUUGCACCAUGUUGAUAAGUCCAGGCUUGAGCUCAAAGUUGCCAUUGAUCUCUGCAGCAGGUCCAGUGCGGAUGUUGUCCGUAGUGGGAGCUGAGAACUCGCGGAUUGAUUUGUUCGCCAUGGCCUCGAACUCUGAAGACAAGUUCCGGUGAUCUUCUUGAUUGGAUGAAGCUUCUUGCUGAAGUGUUGAUGAUCUCUUCUUGAGCUUGGCUCUCGUCUUCUUGAAUAAUGCUUCGGGAUUGUCAACAAAAUUUCCUGGAAGAUGUCUUCUAUUCAUACAUUUCCCUGCAUAAGAUAAAAUAGAAAAAUAUCGGGGUAAAACUGUACGAGAGAAUAGAUAAGCUCAAUCAUAUUAGUGAUGCGAAUGAUAACUCAAAAUCUUUUAUUCCAUUCCUGAUUAGUAAUCAACCUUCCCCGGCAACGGCGCCUAAAAUGCUUGUUGGGUAUUCUUAACAUCAUUACCAAAAGUAGACUAUGUUCUCUAAAUCUAGUAACGGUGCCAAAAAUGCCAAACCUAUCCCUCACACCACUUAAGCCAAGUUGUCAUCCCCAGCAUGACAUGAGAGACGCGGUAUUGAAAUAUGCAAUUGCUCUUCUAAAUAAAUAAUGAAUGGGAUCUGCAAGCGCACAGAUUAAUACCGAUGUAGCAUUUUAAUUGGGAAGUAUUCUAGGUAUCGUUAUUUAUAUUUUUACCACUGGGAAGGGAUUAGCAAUCAUCACUAUUGAUUACAGAAUAGAAUAUGAGAUUGAGCAUCUAUCAUUGCAUGUAUAAUUGAGAAUAUUAUAUCUAACUCUUCAUACAGGGAUAAGUAUCACAUAAAAGAUAUAUGAAAUAAUGAAUAGUGCCAAAGAUAAUUAGUCUGAUCUAGCCACAUAAUAAAUAUGAUAAGCACCUCAAUUAGAUACUCUAGAAAGUCAUUAGCAUGGUAUUAGAACGAACUACAAGAAUAUUCCCUAAGUUAUUCUCAACUAUAUAGUCUAGCAUUAUCAUAAUUAGUGCAAGCAUACUUAGCAAUCAUUGCGAGACAAGACUACGCCCAUGCAUAGUGAUAUUAGCAAGGAAUAUGAGAAACAUAGCAAUCACUCCCCUGUAAUAAUGUUGCUCUGCCAGCCCAAUACACGAGAGGGGGACUAUAUGAUGAGGACAUCCCAACCAAGCAUGCUCCCUCUAAUUCCACGCCAACCUCUACACCGACUACGCCAGCACCAGCCCAUGUCAUCAAUGGACCGAUUACACGUAGUCGUGCAAAGAAGCUACAACAAGAGGUGAACGCACUAAUUUGUGAGAGUUCUAUUAAUGUUAAUGAGAAUAUUAUACUACCUAAGUAUUCUACUUUGGUUGUGCUUAGGUAUACACAUGAGGAGGGAGGUGACCUGGAUCGCAAGGAUUGGAACAACACGGUGCAGAACGGACCAGUUGAAAGAAGGGCAGAUCGGACCAGUGCGGUGCAGAACGGACCAGUUGAAAGAAAAGAUCAUAACUUUCACUUUCGAGAAGCUAUGAAGGCCCAUGAGCACUUGUUGGAAAGCUCUUCGAGUCUGCUUUCCAAUGAAUCAAGUGGCGACCAGUUUGGAUACUCCAUAUUGCCUGCAGACCAGAAUUAGUACAGACUGCUCAGAAGGUCAACAGUCUGUCGUGACGGAAUGUUGGUACAACUUGCCAAGUAAAACUGUACCAAUCUACAGCGUUUCGUGGUGCAUGGCAUACGUUGCUGGAAAGCUCUUGGAGUCUAGUUUCACACCCAAGAAACGGUUCAUCAUUUGGACUUCCCAAUAAAAAGUUAUGGUUAGUUUAUUAGAAACUGCUCUGGAGGCCAACAGUCACGCGAAGCCACUUCGGGAAUCCAUUUCGAGGGGACCUUUCACAUUGCCUUCCCUCAGAAACUCUAUUUCGUUUUCAUACCUAUCUAGCAGGGCUGUUGCUAGUAUAAAUACUCCCUAAGACUCAUUGUAAUCCAAGACUUUGAUAAUUGAAAUACAGAACCCCUUUGUUCAGCUGCGUGCUAACAAAUUCAGAGAGUGAUCUCUACCCCUUUGCUCUUGUGUUUUCCUUCGCGGAGAUUACAGAAGCGGCCGCGUCAUCGGCACCCAAUCCGUGCUCCUGAUCCUCGAGUUCAGGUUGCGUAGGUUGGUUCUUUGAGAGUGUGGUUGGGCGAAUCCUUGGUUCAGGCUGCCGUAUAGAGACGGUGGUUGGCUCCUUGUGCGUGUCGUCAGGUUGCACUAGUUAUCCUCGCUGCUUGCAGCAAGUUAUCGGCUGAUCUUCAGCUAGUUAUCCAUCCUACGUCGUGAAGAUCGGGACAACGACCUCACCACUAUAUAAGAAUCAAUGAAGCUGUCACUAUCACGAACUACCCCACGAUCUGGCAUAUUGGGUACAAUCGCAGAUAAACACGGUAUAAGCACCACGCCUACACAAUAUCUAUCAUUUACCCAUGGAUCCGAUGGAUAAACGCUAUACGAUCCUAAGCAUGUAUAUAAAUCCAAUCUAACUAAGCCAAGUACAUAACUAUGAUAAACUAAGAACAAUAUAAUCUUGAAUAUAAGCAAGUAGAGCAAAGUCAUAAGCAAUAUAUUGAAGUAGAACAAAGUCAUAUUCAUAAUAUUGAAGAACAAAGAUAAUUAGAAAGCAAUUAGAAGCACAAUUAGAGAAUUACCAAGAAUCCUCUUGACAGAUCCGGAAACCAAUCGAAGAUUGACUCCUUCUAGUUCUAAUCCUAUGUAGCUAUGCUAAUCUAGAUACCUAAUUGAUGUGGUGGCUCUAAUCUUGAUCAGGGGCUUCUUCUCCCUUGAAGAACAAUGAAUUAGGGUUGAGAGGCUCUCUCCUCCAGGGGCCAGGGGGUCUGGUUUUAUAGUCCCUUCAAGUGAAUAUGGG
rnacentral:lncRNA from 1 species